GCUUAAGUGGCUCAGUUGGGUAAGCAUCUGGCUUUCACUCAGGUCAUGAUCUCACAGUUUGUGGGUUCAAGCUCCACUUUGGGUC
rnacentral:tRNA from 1 species